CCGGGGAGAGAGCAGCGAGACCGCUUAUAGAGAAUCAGCCGCGGGAUCCGCCGCAAAGUGCGCGGCGCGGCGUGGUGCGGCUGCCCGGAGACCAGUCCUGACCGGGCACUCAGUCUCCGCUGUUAAUCUGGAUUUUUCCUGAGAUGGGGCCUGCAGAUGGUUAGUUGUUCGAGGCGGAUCGGCUCUCCUCCCGGUACUUCCCUCUCCGCCUCGAGAUCACAUUUCCGCAUGGUGUACCAUCUAGAGAGGCCGGGGUUGGCGACGGCGGCGGCGGCUUCCAAUUCCUUCCAUAAGGGACUUGUCAUUUCUUUGACUAAGGUGACCUUGAGGGCCAGCCCUACAUAGGCUAUCCUAAGCAAAGAGAGGUUCAGAGCAGCAGCUCAGGGAGCCCGGAGUGGGCUUGGUGUCCCGGCUGGGAGCCGGGGAAAAGACUUGUCCCCAGGAACUCGAAUCACCUCUUCCAGCGAAAGCGAGAAACGGCUACAGCGAAUUUGUCUUUGACUCGUUACGGCCUUCAGGGUUUCGGGUCCUCUAGACUCCCCUUUCAUUUACUCUUCCUCCGAGAAAGAAACCCGGCACUCCUCUGACGAGCAGGGACAGCGCAGGCCUUUGAGGCAGCCACCUUUUAGUUAAAACCAAACCUGAGAUCUAUGGCCCAGACCUUUCGCUGCCUGCCAUCCCUGACCUCUCUCUCCUUCUGUCUCCGGGUGUACGGUUGUCCCGGACCUUAUCCCUUUUAGGAUGGAGGGAGAGGCUGAAUUCUUCUCCUUUCUCCUCCUCCCCACGUGUGAACCCCAGGGGCAGCGGAGACCGCAAUUAAAAAGUUUCUCAACCAGUUCACUAAGUCCUCUAAGCUCUAUGAGUCUCUCUCCAGGAAUCGGGCCCCUGAUGUCUACGUUUCGGGGUGGGAAAAUUGGGAAGAGACCGAGGCUCGGGUGACUGCUUCCUUCUGCUCUGUCUGCAGACCUAGCAUCCAGUAGAAAAUUGGACUACUGGAAGAGGAGGCUCCAGCACCGAAGCAGUUUCUUCCACUGUCCUUAGACGCUUAAGGGCCCCCGAACUACCUCUCCCCAUUGAGGUCAAAGUUCGAGUCUGGGGUGAGACGGCUGUCCCAUCGACGGGGCCCUUUCUCCCCCGCAGCUGUCCGGGUUCUCGCCCGCUGGCUCCCUCGACCCAACCGCCCCUCCCUAGAAUCAAUAGCUACCCGAGUCCGGGGCGGCUCACCCCCCGCCCCCGGCCCAGCUGGGUUCCUUCUCAUGCAAAACAGGGGGAACCCUGGGGGCUGGGGACCUAUAGGGUGACAGCUGGACCGGGCUACCGCCCCUCCCGAAGCCUGAGCCUCGGAGGCGUGUGGGUGGAAAGGGGGCGGCUCAGGGACGGUAUCCUGAACUUGCAGCCCAUUUGGGGGCAAGGGACUAAAGCGGGCACCAACUCGCGGUUCCUGCUUAUGCCACUCAACUCACCCCACCUCCCGGUACCCACUUGGAGAGCAGACCAAAAAGUCAAAAGCAAUAAUUGGUGUUUAUAUAGCUCAUUAAAAUAUGCAAAAUGGUUCACA